GGAGGUGCGCGCACCAAAAGGGGCGGUCUCACUCGUUUCCCGCGCGAAGUUAGGAUUUCCCUCCAAAACUUUAAGUGUCUAUAAUAACCACUGACUGAUCGUCAUUCUGGUCCCUGCUGCUCUUCUCUGAGGACACGAACGUGGUGAACAGUGGGACUUGUCUUCAGCUUCAGGUGAAACAGCUCUGACCUGUAUGAUGAUCAGCCUGGAGAGGAGACACACCUGGUCCAACCAGGUGACGGACGGUUGAAAGGACGAAUCACAGAGACGAACAAGACGAGCCAAACAAUGGAGACGAGCCUCCACAGGAGCCUGAAGGGAAAGUGUGAUCUUUCACCUGGACUUUACCAGGGGAUCAAACAUGGCUGAUAGACCUGCAGAGUGCUGAUGGUCACUGAUGGAUUCUCCAGAACGAGAGCAGCCAGGAGCUGAAAGUGUGGGCAGAGGAACAGGCUGCUGAGGACCAGCUGGACGACGGUUUCCUGAACUGAAUCCUGACUUUCUGUCAUGGAGUUCUGUGGACUGACAUGUUGUCUGGUUGGUGCUCGGCCCGGGACAGGAAGGCUCUGCAGCAGGUGAUCCAUCCAUCCACAGAGCACCAGUGACAGAGGAGAGGUGAACAGUGGGACUUGUCUUCAGCUUCAGGUGAAACAGCUCUGACCUGUAUGAUGAUCAGCCUGGAGAGGAGACACACCUGGUCCAACAAGGUGACGGACGGUUGAAAGGACGAAUCACAGAGACGAACAAGACGAGCCAAACAAUGGAGACGAGCCUCCACAGGAGCCUGAAGGGAAAGUGUGAUCUUUCACCUGGACUUUACCAGGGGAUCAAACAUGGCUGAUAGACCUGCAGAGUGCUGAUGGUCACUGAUGGAUUCUCCAGGACGCAGCCAGGAGCUGAAAGUGUGGGCAGAGGAACAGGCUGCUGAGGACCAGCUGGACGACGGUUUCCUGAACUGAAUCCUGACUUUCUGUCAUGGAGCUCUGUGGACUGACAUGUUGUCUGGUUGGUGCUCGGCCCGGGACAGGAAGGCUCUGCAGCAGGUGAUCCAUCCAUCCACAGAGCACCAGUGACAGAGGAGAGGUGAUCCACAUCGAUGCAUUCAGAAUCUCCUGUCGCUCAAAAUUUAACACUUUGGCAAGAAGAGUUGUGGUGUUUUUAAUAUGAGCAGGAGCAAACUCACAUUCUUUCAUUCUACAAGGCAGAAACUCCUCUCAAAUAUGAACGUUCCCAUCUUUGUUUUUAAUAAGUAUUUUGUAGUUAAUGAGUAUAAAUGCGGGUCAGUCUGAUGUGCCUCCCUCGCUGUCUCUCACAGACAGACCACAAGUGUCAUGGAGUAAUCAAGUGUUUAACUAACUGUACAAUAAAUAUCUGCAUUAAGAAAUUAUUAUUCUGAAAUAAACUAAAGUACAAAGUUUUCAGUAUCAUUACUAAGUAAAGUAAACAACUAGACGUGAGAACUGUGAGUGUUCUGAAUAACAAACGUAGCAGAUUUUAAUGGUGUUAUUUUCAUCUCAGAACUAAUUAUUCAUUAUUAGGAUUUUACAACUGUCAAAGUUAAAGCUGGAGGCUAAAUUAAGUACUUUUUGGAAAAUAGUAGAAUAUUAUUAUUUCAUGUUGGGGUCAUCACUGUGUCAUUUCAGAGACAUCUUAAACAUGUUACUUACCAUGAAACAUGCGAACCUGUAAAAGUAUUAACAAUAAAAGAUUGUCACAGUGAAAAUCUUCUGAAAUCCAAAUGGAUCAGUACCAACAAUCCUCUCACUCAGAUUCUCCUGUUUGCCUCUUGACCGAUUUGCUUACUUGAUUUAAUGAGAUUUUCUCAGUUUUAAAAGUGUUUGGACGUAAAGAUUUAAUUCUUAUUUUGGUCAACACAAACCAAACGACCAGAGUUUGUGACUUCAGGUGUGAAGAGCGGCGCUGAUCCAGCUCCAACAGGCCCGGCGACUGUAAAGACUGAGAGGGAAACAACACUAGUGCAAUAUUAUAUUUAUUUCUUACAGUGAAUUUUGGUUGCCAUACAAGAAGUCUUGAGGAUUUGAGGGGCGGGGGGGGAAGGAAGAGUGCAGUUACAGGAAAAUUCUCUCUCUUUUCAUUUCAGUAAUUAGUUGACUCUAUGAUGAUUCAGUAGCACAAAAUUACAGCAACAUAGAAAACAUGAACACAAGUCUCAGCACAAAUUACCGAAAAAACAUCUUAGCCUCUAUGAAGACUUAAUCAAAGAAUAAAAUCUAUUCAUGAGAAAAAAUAAAUUAAUUAAUCAAGAAAGAAAGAAAGAAAGAAGAAAAAAAAAAGAAAGAAACAGUUACCCAAAUGUUGGACGAUGAUAAAGGUGGGAGCAGUGUUUUUGACGGGGAGUGGAAGUGGGUCAGUGAGCCGUGCCUGUCCGAAACACGGCCUGGUGAUGCUCAUUAAAGAUUCCUACUACAUCUACUCAGCUCUACGUUUCCACAGAGAAAACUGCUCAGUGACCUGCUGAUCCACAGAGGACGCAGCAGCCACCGCUAAUCUUUGUGGUGGAUUCAUGUAUGUAUACAUAUAUAUAGGUUUCAUAUAGUUUCCUACCAAGAUGGCCUGCGGAUAUAUACUUUUUUUUUGUUUUUGUUUUUUUUUCUUUUAAAUUUACAGUUUUUGCUCUUUUUUUAUACACACACUCUGGACUCGGGGAUUUCAGGAGAUGAGAGUCAGGCAGAUGGUGGUCGUCAGAAGAUACCUGGGUUUGUGGUCACUUGAUUGGCCAAAAGAAAUCUUAAUUCUACUGCAGAAGAGAGUGUAUCUACUUUAGGCAACACGCAGCCCAGUCGCCGGGAUGAUACGUUGGCGGAGAACAUUCUGCAAACCGCUGACACGUUUCAUGUGUACGCAACCAAAAUGUGUGGUGUCAUGUGACGGCCGUCCAGCCUGUGAACACGAGUCUCAGACGGCGUUCCAGCAUUUGUAGUCGUAACACCAAUAAAUUCUUUUUGAUGAGAACGGAUGUGACCAGCCCUGUUUGUGGCCAGUUUUAAUUUCAAAGUAUUCGUGAGUGUAUUUAAUGAGACCUGUAGGUGUGUCCAGGUGUGUUUUUGUCAGGCGAUAACACUUGUCAUUUGUAAUGGGAAGUCCUGAAGUCUCUGAUGAUAGAAAAAAAUAUUUUUAUUGAGAAGUCAGAACAAACCCUAAGCAUGUCUGUGGCAACAAACUAUGUAGGAACAUUUCCAGCACUAUUUCGUGCAGAAAAAACUCAAUGUUUUUUUUUUUUAGCAAAACAUCAGGAAAUCUCCAGGACAAAAAAUUUCCCAGUUCUGAUGAGAAGUUGGAACAAAACCUGGUGGUUUAACAAGACCAAAGCACAACUCCUGCAUGGUAGGUGGCUACAGACAGCUGAUGUUUCUGAUGGGAAGUUGUUAGCAGUGACAGAACUCAGGUAUGUUCAGAGAAGUCCGGACGUGUUGUCAGACAGGUGAUACAGCGUCUCAACGUAUCCGAGGUUUGCAGAAACGUACAUUGCCAACAUUUAUUCUGGCGAUCGGGUCGGCAACACUUUAUUAAAAACACUGACAAGUGAUUGCGUCAUGAUAUGUAACUUAAAAUGGUAAAAUAAAACACAACCAAGGAGAUUCAUUCAGAAUAAAUAUUGCUUCUUACAUAACCCAUAAGUCUAAUAAUAUCCACGUUUUUAUCUAUAUAGUAUUUCUGCUUUUUGGCAAUCCACGCGUCAGUGUUGAACCUCUAUAAAAUUUCAUAGAACUCUAUACAAAUCUUUAAAAAUACUGUGCUUUUCCCCUCCGACACGUCGCUGUUUGUUUUUAAAAUAAGUUACAUGUUCAAACAGGAACAGCGUUAUAGCAGCAUCGUCCCGUGCCGGCCUCCGUACGGCGUAAUGUUCACAGAACACAGAGCUUGUGUAUGUUUCACUGUCUCCUCGAAAGCUGCACCUGCAGGAAGCUGCGGAGUGUGAUAUGAAACCAAACGAGGGUGAAGUUGCUCUAAAACGAUAUAUAUAUGUAUAUAUAUGUUCUCCAGACGUUGGGUUAGUCGAGCACAUAUCCAACCACACGUGAGGUGUGCUCUGAAGGAAUCUACUUCAGGAUAAAAACACGAGCUCUUCUUCUCUACAGAGCGACGGUGCAGGUGGAGGAGGCGGGGAGCUAUUUAAGGCAUCCUCUGCAGGAUGAUGGUGUGAAUGAGACCACUGCGCUGGUCCUCAGGUCAGCUCUGGCAACUAUAAAUCAACCUUCAUAGAAUUUCUUUUUUUCUUUUUUACUCUAAACCUUUUAAUAGAGCUAUACAUAGAAUCAAAUAGACAUUUUUAUCCUGUUAAACACUCUUAUAUACACACAUUUCAACACAUACUGUACUUCUACUUCUGACCAGCCUGUAUCAUUGCUAGCAAACACAUACAAAUGUCCAGCUUUAUAAAUGCUGAUUAAUUUUAAAUUGGACCCUUCUAACAAAGUUUAAAUCACGUCUCUUCAGCCGGAGCUGCAGUGAGACCGGAUCAGAAUAGGGGAGAAGCUCUUUGUCGAGUCAUCUGCACCGGAUCAUCGUUUUCUUUCCCUUUUCUAAUCUCACACAGGGCUCACGCUGACGAACAUCUGCCGGCUCUGUCAGGUUAUUCUCUGCUUGGUUUUUUUGCACAGUGGUUAGAGGGCAGGACGAGGCGUGAGGACUUACGUGAACACGUAAUUCUACAUAAAACCCCGAAGCCUCGGAUUCUCCAUCUGCUCCAAAAAGCAAACGCUUCGCCGAGAAUUCACGUCAUCUGGCUGAAGUCGCUUUACAAAGUAUUAACCUGCUGAUAUGUACAAUUAUAGGACAAGAUCUGUUUUUAUCUUCUCAAACGACCGGACUCUGCCGGGCGGCCAGUCGGUCUGCAACAGCUUCGUUAACGCAGCGUUGCGUCUCCAGCUUCUUUCUUAAAGAAAACCACUGAAGGCUCUUUUGGUCUGAAACAGUAGUUGGUUUCAUUUUGACUCCAGAUCACAGAUUUGUGCAGUUUCAGAUCACCGUUUGGUUGGACUUGAGCUCGAGUUAGCUUGAUGCUAGCAAAUCUCACUGAGUCUUAAUCUUCUUGCUCUUUUUCUAUUAACAAAGAACAAUGUACAAAAUGUUCAGGCAGUCGUUGGAUAAAUAGAAAACGUUAUUAAUUUCUCUGGUGAAACUUGAGUUUUGGAUCUUAAAUAUCAGGUUACUUAUAACAUUUAUUGUUUACAAUUGUUGACAGCUAAAAAAGGGAUUCCAAAGGAUCCAACACUGGAUUCAAAAUCAAUAAAAUACCAUCAGGUGACAGCUUUAAAUGGGUCGACAUUUUAGGAAACGCAUAUUAAUUUUCUCGUUCAGUUUGUUGAGAAGAUCGAUACCACUGUCAUGUGAAUGUGGAGCUGAAGCCUGGAGAUGAUUAGCUUAGCUUAGCUUAGCUUAGCAUUAAGACUGAAGCAGGGAAAAGUGUGGAUGCACUGAAGAGGAAACUGGACACAGUGUCCGUGUGAAGGCCCCGUUCAUUCAGAUUAAAGCUGCUCUGUGAUGCACGAAGCCAAGAAAGUUCAACUUCCAGAUACAAAAUCACCGACAUCACUGUUGUUCGGGGGACAGAGACGUACUCUGACACUUUCAGCCCUUCGCUAAAUAAAUUGAUGUAAUCGUGUCGCUCCUCUAGACUUUCUAAAGGUUACCGGAAUGGAUAAAAAUGGAUCUUUUUGAAGGUUAUCCUGACGGGAUUCUGAGGAGCAGUUCAGUGGCUGUAGAUAUAUUUCUGUCUGGACUGAAGCAGCGGACUGACUGACAGAUACCUCCACAGCACACUGAUCAUCAGGUGAGAUAUGACAUAUUGAACUUUGAGCUUUUGUUAGCACUUUUCCUGCCUCCAGUCUUACUGCGAAGCUAAUCGUCUCCAGAUUCAUAUUUCCUGCACAGACAUCAGAGUGCUAUCAGUGUUCUGACGCGCAGCAAUACGUUUAAUCCCCAAAAAUGUGAGACUAUUCCUUUAAACCUGGUAACGCUCUCUCUCUAUUAAACCUCUUCUUCUACCACGUGCACACAGGGUGUUGGAUAUGUUAGCGCUGCUGUGGGGCCACAUGAACGCUGAGUGUUGACCUGCUGAUGGUGAGGGGAAGGAGAUCUGACGUCGUGAGGGGAAGGAAAGUACAAAAGCGAAGAACAGCUCUAGUUUACCUACUGUGGCCUAAAGAGCGGGUCUGAGGAAAGAGCUAAACUGGCCUUAGUGAUAACUCGGGUCAACCAUCAACACGCACACACACAUUCACACACACACACACACAACACUUGAAGGAAAAACCAAGAGGACGCCCUUAUCAGACAGACAAGCCCAAACCACUUCAAGGUGAGAAUAUUCCUGGUCCAACGUUUGUCUGUCCGUCUUGUACCUCGUGUCCUCGCCUCCGUUGUCUUCGUAUGAUGAGGUGGACACCGGCUGGGUGCAGACUGACGAGGGGCCGCGGGGCCCCUGGUACAGCGGAGCGCCUCCUCUGGUGACCACCUCUGUCCACACUUUGCUCUCUCUCAGGAGAAGAAGGCCAUCGCAGUAUCGGUGUGUUACAUGCUUAGGAUGUGUGAAGACAGUGUGUGCUCUUGUUUGUCAGUGUGUGGCACUCUGCAUAAAGUGUGUGUGUGUGUGUGUGUGUGUGUGUGUGUGUGUGUGUGUGUGUGUGUGUGUGUGCAUGGACAUGAGAUAUGGUUCAGUAUUCGUUUAAACAUGUCAGCUAAUGUUCUUAUUUUUGACACAAACAGGUGAAAAGCAAAAAAAAUGGAGUCUAUCUCAAAUUUUUCUCUACAACCUUAGAUGCACCCAGAAAUAUAACUCCGGUAGGACUCUAGUGAAGAAAUAUUAUUCUCUGAACAAACUCUAGCAAAGAUAGAAAAGGAGCAACGACCAGCUCAGCUGGUUCUUCAUGCACCCACACCGGGUGUAUGGAAAAAGUCUUCAGUAUUCCAAAGCAGUUGGUUCCGCCAACAUCCCAUGAUCGCCUGAUGCUCAGAGCGGUGGGAAGGAGGAAGAGGGCGGACAAGACCGGAGCACUGAGAUGAGGGCGACAGAGGAUGAGAGAGGACAAAAACAGCAAGAGGCAGCAUCAGCUUGG